rnacentral:rRNA from 1 species
AAUGAACGUUGGCGGCGUGGAUUAGGCAUGCAAGUCGAGCGAGAAGUUUAAGAAAGAUACCUCGGUUGAUUUCUUGAAUGGACAGCGGCGAAAGGGAGAGUAACGAGUAGAUACGUACCCAGGGGUUCGGAAUAGCGGGGGAAACCGCCGGUAAUGCCGAAUAAUGUCUCCGGACCAAAAAUUUAUUGCCCUUGGAUCGGUCUGCUUACUAUUAGCUUGUUGGUGGGGUAAAGCCUACCAAGGCGAAGAUGGUUAGCGGGUGUGAGAGCAUGGCCCGUCUCACUGGGACUGAGACACUGCCCAGACACCUACGGGUGCUGCAGUCGAGAAUCUUCCGCAAUGGACGAAGUCUGACGGAGCGACGCCGCGUGCGGGAUG